CUUUGGUACUAUAAAAGAAAGAUUAUGCACGGUGAUGCUGAUAUUUUCUUAGAUCGAACUUUCGACUUAAUAUGGGAUGACAUAUGUCAGGCAAUUAUAGGAAUUGGCGGUGUGAGUUUUGCAGAAAAAUGUUCUCGUUUAAAAGUAUGCUCACUUGAAAGUAAUGAAAAGAAAUUCUCAAAAAUUUAAGGAAAACAGCUAGACUGAGGCAGAAAUGAUUUAUACAGACUUAGGGCAUGAUUUACAACAGACACUCGGCAUCCAUAUAUAAACCAUUUGAUUUCCGCUAUUUGCUGACCAUUUCAUUUAUUCAAAAGAAGCUGACUUGAAACAAUCAAUACCUCGGACGAAAGAAAUAUAAUCUAGCACAAUUCUUUACAUUCACGUACAGCUUUACAAAUGUUG